GCGGACAUAGCUCAGUUGGUAGAGCACAACCUUGCCAAGGUUGGGGUCGCGAGUUCGAGUCUCGUUGUCCGCU
rfam:Aneurinibacillus sp. XH2, complete genome.